ensembl:misc_RNA 7SK 7SK RNA
GGAUGUGAGGGUGAUCUAGCUGCGACAUCUGUUACCCCAUUGUUCACCAGAGUUGAUUCGGCUGAUCUGGCUGUCUAGGUGAGUGUCCCCUUCCUACCUCACUGCUCCAUGUGAGUCCCUCUGGAAGGACAACGACCUUCCCCGAAUAGAGGAGGACCAGUUUGUGGUCAAGAGUAUUGGAGUAGCUUUGCUCCCCUGUUAGAACCUCCAAACAAGCUCUCAAGAUUAAAAAUCCCUCAUGGAAGUCCUUGCCCUCCCUGGGGAGCAGAGUGGGGAAGAAGUGGGGAUGAG